rnacentral:rRNA from 1 species
AGCGAACGCUGGCGGCAGGCCUAACACAUGCAAGUCGAACGAAGUCUUCGGACUUAGUGGCGGACGGGUGAGUAACACGUGGGAACGUACCUUUUGGUUCGGAACAACUUAGGGAGACUUGAGCUAAUACCGGAUGAUCCCUUAGGGGGAAAGAUUUAUCGCCGAAAGAGCGGCCCGCGUUAGAUUAGCUAGUUGGUGAGGUAAGGGCUCACCAAGGCUACGAGCUAUAGCUGGUCUGAGAGGAUGAUCAGCCACACUGGGACUGAGACACGGCCCAGACUCCUACGGGAGGCAGCAGUGGGGAAUCUUGCGCAAUGGGCGAAAGCCUGACGCAGCCAUGCCGCGUGAAUGAUGAAGGUCUUAGGAUUGUAAAAUUCUUUUACCAGGGACGAUAAUGACGGUACCUGGAGAAAAAGCCCCGGCUAACUUCGUGCCAGCCGCCGCCGUAACAC